rnacentral:rRNA from 1 species
AUGUUAGACACAUCGGGUCUUUCCAAGGAAUGGUGGGGGGAGGCGCUAAUGACCGCGUGUCAUGUCCUAAACCGAGUUCCCACAAAGCAUAAGACCAUGACUCCAUUUGAGGAAUGGGAAAGGAAAAGGUUGAAACUCUCUUACCUACGUUCUUGGGGUUGUUUGGCGAAAGUCAAUAUACCAAUUCCCAAGAAGCGCAAGCUUGGACCAAAAACCGUGGAUUGUGUUCUUCUGGGCUAUGCUUUUUAUAGCAUUGGCUAUAGAUUUUUGAUAAUAAAAUCUGAGGUAUCCGACAUGCAUGUUGGUACGAUUAUGAAGUCUAAUGAUGCAACUUUCUUUGAGCACAUUUUUCCUAUGAAGGAUAUGUCAAGUUCAUCAAAUCAGGAGAUACCUAUUCCAUCUAGUGAGGAACUCACUGUAAUUCCUGAACCCACCAUUGCGAUGGAACACGUUGAGAAUCCUAUUGAGGGUGACAAUGAAACUCCUAUAAGGAGUAACAGACAGAGGACUGCAAAGUCCUUUGGUGAUGAUUUCAUUGUGUACCUUGUGGAUGACACGCCCAGGACUAUUUCAGAAGCCUAUGCAUCUCCUGAUGCUGACUACUGGAAGGUAGCUGUUCGUAGCGAGAUGGAUUCAAUCUUAGCUAACAGGACCUGGGAGAUCACUGAUCGUCCUUAUGGGUGCAAACAUGUAGGAUGUAAGUGGGUGUUCAAGAAGAAGCUUAGACCUGAUGGUACGAUUGAAAAGUACAAGGCAUGGCUUGUGGCUAAGGGUUAUACCCAGAAAGAAGGUGAAGACUUCUUUGAUACUUACUCACCCGUGGCUAGACUGACCACAAUUCGGGUGCUACUAUCACUGGCUGCCUCACAUGGUCUUCUCGUUCAUCGAAUGGACGUUAAGACGGCUUUCCUCAAUGGAGAGUUGAAGGAGGAAAUUUACAUGGAUCAGCCAGAUGGUUUUGUAGUACCUGGUCAGGAAGGAAAGGUGUGCAAGUUGUUAAAGUCUUUAUAUGGCCUUAAACAAGCUCCUAAGGAGUGGCAUGAGAAGUUCGAAAAAACAUUAACUAUUGUCGGCUUUGUAGUAAAUGAUGGUGACAAGUGUGUGUACUAUCGCCAUAGUGGGGGCGAAGGAGUUAUUCUUUGUCUGUAUGUCGACGACAUAUUGAUCUUUGGAACCAAACUUGAUUUAAUCAAGGAGGUUAAGGAUUUCUUAUCUCGUUGUUUUGAGAUGAAGGAUCUAGGAGUAGCUGAUGUUAUCUUAAACAUCAAGCUGUUGAGAGAUGAGAAUGGUGGUGCCACAAGGCCUGACAUCUCUUUUGCUGUGAGCAAGCUGAGUCGGUUUGUGUCAAAACCGGGAGAUGAUCAUUGGCGUGCGCUUGAGAGAGUUAUGCGCUACUUGAAGGGCACUACGAGCUAUGGGAUUCACUACACCGGGUAUCCAAGGGUACUGGAGGGUUAUAGUGACUCAAACUGGAUAUCUGAUGCUGAUGAGAUUAAGGCCACAAAACUCACAGCAUUAGACACUGCCACUGUUAAAGCAGAGUGGCUUGGUGAGCAAUUGAUGGACUUACCUAUGGUUGAAAAACCAAUACCCCCUAUCCUGAUGAACUGUGAUAAUCAAACUGUGAUCGUCAAGAUAAACAGUUCUAAGGACAAUAUGAAGUCCUCAAGGCAUGUGAAGAGGAGAUUAAAAUCUUUCAGGAAACUGAGAAACUCCGGAGUUAUUACGUUGGAUUAUAUCCAAACAUCGAAAAACUUGGCAGAUCCCUUCACAAAGGGUCUAUCACAUAAUGUGAUAGAUAAUGCAUCGAUGGAGAUGGUUUGA